AGCGUACACGGUGGAUGCCCUGGCAGUCAGAGGCGAUGAAGGACGUGCUAAUCUGCGAUAAGCGUCGGUGAGGUGAUAUGAACCGUUAUAACCGGCGAUUUCCGAAUGGGGAAACCCAGUGUGUUUCGACACACUAUCAUUAACUGAAUCCAUAGGUUAAUGAGGCGAACCGGGGGAACUGAAACAUCUAAGUACCCCGAGGAAAAGAAAUCAACCGAGAUUCCCCCAGUAGCGGCGAGCGAACGGGGAGGAGCCCAGAGCCUGAAUCAGUGUGUGUGUUAGUGGAAGCGUCUGGAAAGGCGCGCGAUACAGGGUGACAGCCCCGUACACAAAAAUGCACAUAUUGUGAGCUCGAUGAGUAGGGCGGGACACGUGGUAUCCUGUCUGAAUAUGGGGGGACCAUCCUCCAAGGCUAAAUACUCCUGACUGACCGAUAGUGAACCAGUACCGUGAGGGAAAGGCGAAAAGAACCCCGGCGAGGGGAGUGAAAAAGAACCUGAAACCGUGUACGUACAAGCAGUGGGAGCCUCUUAAUGGGGUGACUGCGUACCUUUUGUAUAAUGGGUCAGCGACUUAUAUUCUGUAGCAAGGUUAACCGAAUAGGGGAGCCGAAGGGAAACCGAGUCUUAACUGGGCGCUAAGUUGCAGGGUAUAGACCCGAAACCCGGUGAUCUAGCCAUGGGCAGGUUGAAGGUUGGGUAACACUAACUGGAGGACCGAACCGACUAAUGUUGAAAAAUUAGCGGAUGACUUGUGGCUGGGGGUGAAAGGCCAAUCAAACCGGGAGAUAGCUGGUUCUCCCCGAAAGCUAUUUAGGUAGCGCCUCGUGAAUUCAUCUCCGGGGGUAGAGCACUGUUUCGGCAAGGGGGUCAUCCCGACUUACCAACCCGAUGCAAACUGCGAAUACCGGAGAAUGUUAUCACGGGAGACACACGGCGGGUGCUAACGUCCGUCGUGAAGAGGGAAACAACCCAGACCGCCAGCUAAGGUCCCAAAGUCAUGGUUAAGUGGGAAACGAUGUGGGAAGGCCCAGACAGCCAGGAUGUUGGCUUAGAAGCAGCCAUCAUUUAAAGAAAGCGUAAUAGCUCACUGGUCGAGUCGGCCUGCGCGGAAGAUGUAACGGGGCUAAACCAUGCACCGAAGCUGCGGCAGCGACACUAUGUGUUGUUGGGUAGGGGAGCGUUCUGUAAGCCUGUGAAGGUGGCCUGUGAGGGUUGCUGGAGGUAUCAGAAGUGCGAAUGCUGACAUAAGUAACGAUAAAGCGGGUGAAAAGCCCGCUCGCCGGAAGACCAAGGGUUCCUGUCCAACGUUAAUCGGGGCAGGGUGAGUCGACCCCUAAGGCGAGGCCGAAAGGCGUAGUCGAUGGGAAACAGGUUAAUAUUCCUGUACUUGGUGUUACUGCGAAGGGGGGACGGAGAAGGCUAUGUUGGCCGGGCGACGGUUGUCCCGGUUUAAGCGUGUAGGCUGGUUUUCCAGGCAAAUCCGGAAAACCAAGGCUGAGGCGUGAUGACGAGGCACUACGGUGCUGAAGCGACAAAUGCCCUGCUUCCAGGAAAAGCCUCUAAGCAUCAGGUAACAUCAAAUCGUACCCCAAACCGACACAGGUGGUCAGGUAGAGAAUACCAAGGCGCUUGAGAGAACUCGGGUGAAGGAACUAGGCAAAAUGGUGCCGUAACUUCGGGAGAAGGCACGCUGAUAUGUAGGUGAAGCGACUUGCUCGUGGAGCUGAAAUCAGUCGAAGAUACCAGCUGGCUGCAACUGUUUAUUAAAAACACAGCACUGUGCAAACACGAAAGUGGACGUAUACGGUGUGACGCCUGCCCGGUGCCGGAAGGUUAAUUGAUGGGGUUAGCGGUAACGCGAAGCUCUUGAUCGAAGCCCCGGUAAACGGCGGCCGUAACUAUAACGGUCCUAAGGUAGCGAAAUUCCUUGUCGGGUAAGUUCCGACCUGCACGAAUGGCGUAAUGAUGGCCAGGCUGUCUCCACCCGAGACUCAGUGAAAUUGAACUCGCUGUGAAGAUGCAGUGUACCCGCGGCAAGACGGAAAGACCCCGUGAACCUUUACUAUAGCUUGACACUGAACAUUGAGCCUUGAUGUGUAGGAUAGGUGGGAGGCUUUGAAGUGUGGACGCCAGUCUGCAUGGAGCCGGCCUUGAAAUACCACCCUUUAAUGUUUGAUGUUCUAACGUUGGCCCGUAAUCCGGGUUGCGGACAGUGUCUGGUGGGUAGUUUGACUGGGGCGGUCUCCUCCUAAAGAGUAACGGAGGAGCACGAAGGUUGGCUAAUCCUGGUCGGACAUCAGGAGGUUAGUGCAAUGGCAUAAGCCAGCUUGACUGCGAGCGUGACGGCGCGAGCAGGUGCGAAAGCAGGUCAUAGUGAUCCGGUGGUUCUGAAUGGAAGGGCCAUCGCUCAACGGAUAAAAGGUACUCCGGGGAUAACAGGCUGAUACCGCCCAAGAGUUCAUAUCGACGGCGGUGUUUGGCACCUCGAUGUCGGCUCAUCACAUCCUGGGGCUGAAGUAGGUCCCAAGGGUAUGGCUGUUCGCCAUUUAAAGUGGUACGCGAGCUGGGUUUAGAACGUCGUGAGACAGUUCGGUCCCUAUCUGCCGUGGGCGCUGGAGAACUGAGGGGGGCUGCUCCUAGUACGAGAGGACCGGAGUGGACGCAUCACUGGUGUUCGGGUUGUCAUGCCAAUGGCACUGCCCGGUAGCUAAAUGCGGAAGAGAUAAGUGCUGAAAGCAUCUAAGCACGAAACUUGCCCCGAGAUGAGUUCU
rnacentral:rRNA from 1 species